CUGAGGAAUGAGAAGGCCUUACAGGAACACCUGGACAGGGUAAAGAAUCCGGAAAGGACAGGCAAACAGACCAGACAACCACAAUGUAAAGAUUACUCUAUUUUCACUGCAUCAGGGCUGAAGAGCAAGGACCCGCAUGAUCAACAGUCAGCAAAAUGCAAAGAUGUCUCCAUGGUUGCUGUAACUGAGUCAAAGACUCUGAACCCUCAGAAGGACCAGCCAGCAAAGUGCAAAGCUGGGAAAAAUCGCUUUGCUACAUUCUUGAAAACCCUUGUUUGCAGAAAAAAUAAGGCAUAAUGCAUAGUUCCUGACGUUUUCCUUGCUAACAAGUGACCUCUGCAAUUUUACAAAUAUUUUCUGAAAUUCAUUCUCAUUCUUUCCCUUGUUUUCUAUAUCCAUUUCUAUAUAAAAUACU